CCGGGGGGGGUGCCUAUAAUGCAGUCGAGCGGACAGAAGGGAGCUUGCUCCCGGAUGUUAGCGGCGGACGGGUGAGUAACACGUGGGUAACCUGCCUGUAAGACUGGGAUAACUCCGGGAAACCGGAGCUAAUACCGGAUAGUUCCUUGAACCGCAUGGUUCAAGGAUGAAAGACGGUUUCGGCUGUCACUUACAGAUGGACCCGCGGCGCAUUAGCUAGUUGGUGAGGUAACGGCUCACCAAGGCGACGAUGCGUAGCCGACCUGAGAGGGUGAUCGGCCACACUGGGACUGAGACACGGCCCAGACUCCUACGGGAGGCAGCAGUAGGGAAUCUUCCGCAAUGGACGAAAGUCUGACGGAGCAACGCCGCGUGAGUGAUGAAGGUUUUCGGAUCGUAAAGCUCUGUUGUUAGGGAAGAACAAGUGCAAGAGUAACUGCUUGCACCUUGACGGUACCUAACCAGAAAGCCACGGCUAACUACGUGCCAGCAGCCGCGGUAAUACGUAGGUGGCAAGCGUUGUCCGGAAUUAUUGGGCGUAAAGGGCUCGCAGGCGGUUUCUUAAGUCUGAUGUGAAAGCCCCCGGCUCAACCGGGGAGGGUCAUUGGAAACUGGGAAACUUGAGUGCAGAAGAGGAGAGUGGAAUUCCACGUGUAGCGGUGAAAUGCGUAGAGAUGUGGAGGAACACCAGUGGCGAAGGCGACUCUCUGGUCUGUAACUGACGCUGAGGAGCGAAAGCGUGGGGAGCGAACAGGAUUAGAUACCCUGGUAGUCCACGCCGUAAACGAUGAGUGCUAAGUGUUAGGGGGUUUCCGCCCCUUAGUGCUGCAGCUAACGCAUUAAGCACUCCGCCUGGGGAGUACGGUCGCAAGACUGAAACUCAAAGGAAUUGACGGGGGCCCGCACAAGCGGUGGAGCAUGUGUUUAAUUCGAAGCAACGCGAAGAACCUUACCAGGUCUUGACAUCCUCUGACAACCCUAGAGAUAGGGCUUCCUUCGGGACAGAGUGACAGUGUGCAUGCUGUCGUCAGCCUCGUGUCGUGAGAUGUU
rnacentral:rRNA from 1 species